CAUUCCCUUUAUGUGCAUGAUUUUACGCUGAAAUUUACAUGGAUUUUCCUUUCUGUGUAAGCCAAAUUUGAAAGAUGUUUAGAAGACUAUUUUCCUUAUCUUUAUUGCUGACCUCCUUUGAAUAUAUUCACAAGUACUUUAAUAUGAAUAUGAAACAAAAUACUUUGUUAUUCAUAUUUAAAGCCGAAAGGAAAUUAUUAUCAUGCAAAAAAAUCUUUUAGUUUGCCUCAAAUACAUCUACUAGUGGAAAAAUGUUUGUUUUUCAUGAAAAAUGUUUAUAACUCUUCAUCGGAAAAAUUGUGCAGGCCCCAAAAUAUGCGUUUCAAUCAACUCUACAGGUGAUGAGAAGGCAACUUUGAUGAAAAACUCUAAAUAAAAAAAAUAAAACACAAAAACUUGUUUUUGAAGGGCCACCCUACAUCAAUAGCGAAAAAUGCUCUAAAACGGUCAAUUUUUGAGCUAGAAAAAAAAACUUUUUUGGUCAAAUCAGCCUGAUCAUUCCUAGUCGUGCACUCGCCGAGUAAACCCGCUUUAGUUUUUGCUCCGUAACGCGAUUUGAAGCAUUUUUUCCCACACCGUUGUGGUUUUUUUUUUUUUGGAAGAAAAGUGUCGUUACCUAACGUGCACCGCAGGAAGAAGCCAUCCUCAGCAUAGUUCUGUGGAUGGACUUUUCAUCAAGUGCGAGUUGGAACCAAAUUUGCCAAAUUACCAAAAUUGGCAAUCAAUUUGGUACACGGAGAAGAACGAAAAUACUAGUUAGUGUACGAUUUAAUAUUUGUUCACUAUAAUGCUCUUUUAUGUUCAUAGAAUCUUAAAAAUUAUUCACCUAGUUAUUAUAUUUUAUACCUCAUCAUGCUUAUUCGCGAAUUAUUUUUCACCAUGCUUAUGUGAUGAAUCACGCUACUCUUGGGACUUAUUCAAAAUAAAGUACCAUUUUGUUUAGAUCAGAAUCAACAUCACAACGUGUUCUUAAGCAUUUUUCGCAAUUAUAGUAAAAUUACUGGACUCUAACACCAAGUGUCAUGCCAAUCUGAGUUUAUUGAGCUGUGACUCAAGUGAAAAUCGUAAGAAAGAAAAAUAGAAAUGUGUUAAUGUGUAUAAAAAGUGUCAGGAGUAGAUCAUCCUUCGCCGUCACAAUGCCGGUCUUUCCGUGAUUUUCCCGGUUCAGAUUGCAUCAGAAACAGCACCCUUAAAGGAGAUUUUUCCACAAAAAAAGCUGCCGCAGGAAGCGGUGAAUGGAGUUCAUUAUCCGGGAGACCUCAUCCAUUCCGGCCAUCGUGAGCAAGACGGAUUUGCGGCAAAUAUGCUGGAAAUGGUGGAUUCUGACCAAAUCAGAACAGGAACAGAUUGGCAGCAGCAAUGGGUAGCACAUCAGAUAGAACUUUAAAUAAAUGCGUUACAUGGUAAAAUCACAUUCUCACAUUUUUCUGUUCUUUGUUUACUUUAAUUAAAGAAAAAUGGUUUAUUUUAUUCAUAGCACAGAAUUUUAGGAUUAUAAGCCUUUAAUGCAUAAUUUCUGAAUAAUCAUUUAUCAAUAUAAAACCCGUUUAUGCUAGCCAAGAUUAAAA